rnacentral:misc_RNA from 1 species
CUUUUUGUGCAUAAUGUAUAUAUAGGGGGGUAUAGGGUGUCUCCAGAGACACUGAUCGGGCUAUGAGACACCAGACGCACGAGAGACGCACGAGAAAGGCACCGAUCAGAAGACGCUAAGCGAGUCGGUAUACGAGUUCUCGAGACGGUUUCGAGAACUAUGGGGGUUUAUGAUGCAUGAUGUGGGUUUAUCGAUGCUGUUGGGUCGGCCAAGACCCUUCGAUGUGCCUUGAAUGGCCUAUUGAUCCAUGUUUGUACUAUGCUAGUUCGCGCACGCUGAGGCCAGUGACUAGAUGUAAGUACGAUAUGGUGAUAUAGGUGUGUGGCAUCGGCCAAGACCCUUCGAUGUGCCUUGAACGGCCUAUUGAUCCAUGUUUGUACUAUGCUAGUGGCGCACGCUGAGGCCAGUGACUAGAUGUAGUACGAUGUGGUGAUAUAGGUGUGCUUCCGAGGCAUGGUGGUUUCCAUUUUUCGUAUGUUACUUUCGCAUCGUGCGGUGCAUGUUGGGGGCUGUUUUGGCUUUUGGUUGCUUGCUUGGCCUUUUGGUGGGGUGGGUCACUACUAGUCGGGUGGCUUUCGGGAAUGUCGACCGGGAAGGUGCAUGAGUGGUGUUUGGUUUGUUACGUGUGGAUGGCUGUUUGCUUGCGCAACAACUUCCACGCUGCAUACCUCUUCAAUUUUGCGGCAAGGCAUCGUUUGUCUUGAGGGCAUUGUGGGUUUCUUGUGUUGCAUACCUAAUUGAUGGUAACAUGUGGGUUUCAUGAUUUUCCUUUUCGUCGUGCGUCGUUCAUGCGGCGUGGGAUGAACAAUGAAGCGGUCUUUGUGAUCCACUGUGUUGUUGCGUUUGCAACAAUGAUGUGGCCUAUGAAGCAUCGUUUGGUUUCUUGUAUACGGAACCUGAUGUGGGCUUGGGUCUUUAUAAGAUCCUCAUUUUGCCCUCGUUAAGCGUUCUCGCUUCUCAAAAACGAUUGCCUGCCAUGUUUUGGCUUGUCCUUGCAUGGUGGGCUACGUCGAAGAGGAAUGCUACCUGGUUGAUCCUGCCAGUAGUCA